UUUUUUUGUUUUUUGUUUUUUGUUUUUUGUCUUUUUGCUAUUUCUUUGGGCCGUUCCCAUGGCAUAUGGAGGUUCCCAGGCUAGGGGUCGAAUCGGAGCUGUAGCCACCGGCCUACUCCAGAGCCACAGCAACGCGGGAUCCGAGCCGUGUCUGCAACCUACGCCACAGCUCACGGCAACACCAGAUCGUUAACCCACUGAGCAAGGGCAGGGACCGAACCCGCAACCUUGUGGUUCCUAGUCGGAUUCGUUAACCACUGUGCCACGACGGGAACUCCAAACUGAGUAUUUAUUUAACUGAGUAUUUGUUUCUCUUUUUUUGUGUGUGGGGGGUACUAUUAUACAUGAUACUGUGUUUUUAAUUUCAGUUUCACUUGUUCGUCUGGUUUAUAGGAAAGUGAUGACCUUUUCUAUAUUAACCAUGUAUCCUAAAGUCUUGUUGUAAUGCUUCUUAUUUUCAGGAUUUUAUUUUUAUUUGGUCUACUUUUGUUUGUUUUCCAUAGCUGUUUUAUUCCUUCCUUUCUGAUCAGUAUACCUUUUCUAUAACCUUCUCUUAUUGCAUUAGCUAUGAAUUCUAGUAUAAAUUGAAAGGGAGUUUUAAGAGGGAUUAUCCUUGCCUUCUUCAUAGUAGUCUGAAAUUUCUAGUUUAUUUCUAGUAGUUAUGUUGAUAACUAUAGGGUUUUAUUUAGAUCAUCAAGUUGAAGUCUUUCUGUGUUUAGAAUACUAGGAGAUGGAGCCUUCUAUCAUGAAUGGAUUUGCAUAUUUUCAGACCCUUUUUCUGCCCUGUUGAUGAGAUCAUGUGUUUUUUAAGGUGUUGAUGAUGUGGAUUCAUUUCCACUGGCCAUAGUGGGAACUCCUGUUUUGCCUCUUUUUUUUUUUUUUUUUUUUUUUUUUUUGUCUUUUUGCCAUUUCUUGGGCCGCUCCCGUGGCAUAUGGAGGUUCCCGGGCUAGGGGUCGAAUCGGAGCUGCAGCUGCCAGCCUGCGCCAGAGCCACAGCAACGCAGGAUCUGAGCUGCGUCUGCAACCUACACCACAGCUCACGGCAACGCCGGAACCCUGACCCACUGAGCAAGGGCAGGGAUCGAACCCUCAACCUCAUGGUUCCUAGUCGGAUUCGUUAACCACUGUGGCACGAUGGGAACUCCUUGCCUCAUAUUUUGAUAUUCUGUUGGUAGGUGGAAACAUGUUAAGGAUUAUUGUGUAUCCUGAAGAAUUGACUCCUUUAUCAUUGUGUCAUUCUCUUUAUCCCUGAUAACUUUGCUUACUUGAAAUCUGCUCUGAUGUUAACAGUUACUAUCAAUUUUUUUUCAAAUAGAGUUAGCCUCUCUUAUUAAUUAACUUUUAAUCUAUAUGUAGCUUUCUAUUUAAAGUGAGUUUCUUGGAGACAUCAUAUAGUUGAGACCUGUUUUUGCUCCACUCUGAGAAAUUCUAUUAAUUGGUGCGUUAAGACUGUUGACAUUUCAUGUGUUGAUACAGUUGGAUAAAUAUCUAAUAUAUUUGUUACUAUUUUCUGUUGAUUGCCCUUGUUCUUCGUUUAUAUUUUAAUUUGCACUAUUCUUGCUGGGGUUUUUUUGUGUGUGUGUGUUUGUUUCUUUUGGCUGUGCCUGUGGCAUGUGGAAGUUCAGGGCCAGGGAUUGAACCCACACCACAGCAGCAAUCCAAGCCACUGCAGUGACAAUGUGAGAUCCUUAACUCACUGCAUCACAAGAGAACUCCCUUGUUUUUGUGGUUUUAAUCAAGGAUUCUGUGAGAUUGCAUUUUCUCUCCUUGUUUCUUUCUUUCCUUCCUCCCCUCCCCUCCUUUCCCCCCUCCCUUUUCUUUCCUUCUAGCAUAGUUAUCCUAGAAUUUGUGAUAGGUCUUUACAACUAAUUGAAGUCUACUUUCAUAUGUCAUUACAUGGCUUCCUGGGUAGUUCAAAUAUAAAACCAAAAAAAAAGCUUUACUUCUUCCAUUCUGUGAUUGCUAUAAUCCAUUUUAAUUUUACAUAGAAUACCCAAGUAUGUGUGUAAAAAUGCGUAAUGGAACGCACUGUUGCUUUUGUUCUUUUGAACAAAUUAUUAUCUAUUAGGUUGGAAUAGGCAUUUUUGCAAAGAAGACAUGUAAAUAGCAAAGAGCUACAUGGAAAUAUGCUCAGUAUCACUGGUGGUCAGGGGAAUGCAAAUCAAAACCACAGUGGGUGAAGGAUCUGGUGUAUCUCCAGCUUAAAUUCAGUCCCUGGCCCAGGAACUUCCAUAUAUUGUGGGGGCAGCCCCAAAAUAACAUGAAGUAAAGAUAAAAAGAUGGGAGAGCAGGGCCCCUUUGUGCACUGUUGGUGGAAAUGUCCAUUGUUGCAACCGCUACGGAAAAGAAUGUGGAGAAUACUUAGAAAAUGAAAAAAAGGAACUACCCUAUGAGUCAGCAGUUCCACAUCUUUGUAUUUAUCUAAACGGAGUCAAAUCAUCAUGCCAGAAAACAUUUGUACUUAUCUUUAUUGCAACAUUAUUAACAAUAUCCACGACGUGGAAACAACCAAAGUGUCUGUUGGUGGAUGAGUGGAUAACAGACGUGGUAGAUACGGAAUGUUAUUCAGUGUUAUUCUCCUAUUAAAAAAAGGAAAUCUUGCCAUUUGCAACAACAUGGAUGGACUUUCAGGGUGUUAUGCUAAGUAAAAUAAGUCAGAGAGAGAAAGGCACAAUUGUCUCUCAGUUUCCACAGAGGGUUUGUUCCAGUAGCCCCUGCAUCCAUUAAAAUUUUUGGAUGCUGAAGUCUCAUAGUCAGCCCUCUGAUUCUGAAGUUUAGAAUUUGUGGAUUCAUCCAACCACAGAUCAUGUAGUGUUGCUUUGUUGUAUUUUUUGAAAAAUAUCCAUGUAUGAGUGGACCCACGCAUAUCUAACCUAUGUUGUUCAAGGGUCACCGGUACUACAUUAUUAUACCUGUAUAUGGAAUAUUUAUUUAUUUAUUUAUUUAUUAUUGUGGCUGCACCCUUGUGGAAGUUCCUGGACCAGAAGUUGUAGCAACACCAGAUCCUUUAACCCACUGCACUGGGCUGGGGGUCAGACUGCACCUAUGCAGCGACCCAAGCUGCUGAGGUCGGAUUCUUAACCCACUGUGUCAUGAUGGCAGGAACUCCUCUGGAAUCCU
rnacentral:lncRNA from 1 species